UCUGGAUAUCAAGCAAAUCAAAUUACGCGAAGGCCCACCAGACACGCGCAUUAAUCAUCGGGUAGCCCAGCUACACACCUUUGGGGGCGGGGGCGGGGCGCGAACCUGGCCAGCGGCUUCCCCGGCGGCCGCAGGAUGGACCCGGCUGGGAGGCAGGCCCGGGAGCCGGAGGGGGCGUGGCCACUGUGUCCCCCAUCCCCCCACUUCCACACCGCCCCCCGAGGCCAGGAGCGAGAAGGACCCCGAAGAGCCCAAGCAGAUUUUGGCAGUUUCCUGCCAGAAUCACCACUUCUGGUGAAACGGUGGCUGAAAGGAAAAACAUGCAGUGCUGGCAACACGCAGAGCCAACUCUUUUCAUCUGGAAGUACCUUCGUGGAAAUACCGCCACCUGAAUGGAAACAGUUUGACCACAAGGUGCCACCAGAAGUGACUGGGGUUGAUGGGCCUAAGUCUUAGCCUGCCCCACACAUACUUGGUUCUCAAACACCCACCCACCCACCGGACACACUCUGCUUGACAUGGCUCUGGCUAAGGCAGGUCUUCUGGAAGCUUCAGCAUCUUAUCUCCUUCUGCACGAAGCCUCGGGCCUUUCCGGGGAAGAGCUGCUACAGUGGGGAAUGAGAACAAGAUGUGACUUGCUCGUUUACCUCCACCGUAAACCUCUCUUAUUUGAACAACCAUGUCUACAGGAGCAGCUUACCUAACCCUCUGGACUUUAGUUUCUUCUUGGGCAAAGUAGAAACAACAUCCACCUUCAAGGGCCAUUGUGCCAAUUAAAUGAGAAAACCUCAGAGUCGUGUUUGACCCAGAAUAACAGGUCGGUGGGCUCCUUCCCUUUCUGGGGUCACCUAACAUCUUCCCCGCAGGUGACGUGGGGCGAGGAGUCCAUGAUGCUGAGAAGACAAGAAGGCAACCAACUGUGGACAAGAAAGGGUCCAGCCAAGGUCACAAGCCUUCCCCAGAACGGGAUCGUGCACAGAGGUAAGACACUCAGGAAGAGAGGAGUCAAGCUGCACACUUGGCAGCUAAGCCUCCAGCUCUGAGGCAGUGGAGACUCCGAAUGCUCGUCAAAAAGCCUUGAUGUAGAUUUUUUUUUUUUUCAUUCCACACAUUAAAAUGAAAAUGACAGCAUUCACGCUAUCCCCACACAUGCCGGUGAAUAACUCACUUCAUGAUGGAUAUGGGUCCCUGUGACUCUGGUAUAGACAACAAAGCAAACCAGAGAUCAGAAGUGAAUUGGGGUUUAUGGCUAAUAUGGGAUACUCAUUUUAAAAUGGCAAAAUGGGGGAGGUCCUGUUGUGGUGCAUUGGAAACAAAUCCAACAAGGAUCCAUGAGGACUCAGGUUCGAUCCCUGGCCUCACUCAGUGGGUUCAGGAUCCAGCAUUGCCAUGACCUGUGGUGCAGGCGGCAGACAAAGCUUGGAUCCUUUGUAGCUGUGGCUGUGGUGUAGGCCGGCAGCUACAGCUCCAAUUCGACCCCUAGCCUGGGAACUUCCAUAUGCUGUGGGGGCAGCCCUAAAAACAAACAAAAACCCUGCAAAUAAACUAACCUUAGCCAUUUUAGCUCUGUAUACA
rnacentral:lncRNA from 1 species